CUAUAUAUAACGUCAUAAUAAUAUCCGUCUUUGCCGAAAGAAGUAAUAAAUACAUAACGCGUCUUCCUUUCUUCUCUUGCUUACGUAUUACGGGGGCUGUCUUUUCGCCCCUCCUACGCAACUAGGAUCUGUGCGCUACUGAUACACCCGUUAUAACCCGUGGGUGGGUCUCUCUUUCUCUGUCUCUCCUACUCGAGCAGUCGAUAUUCAAUCAAAUAAAUCCCCCUAACAAACUGGAGAGUCACGGAUAGCAUCGAGAAACAAUUCGAGAGAAGGAGGGGAAUAAAGCGGCAGUGCAAAUCGGUAAGCGAGAGGGACAGAGAGAGACAAAGGGGCAAAACGAGGGAGGAAAAUAGAGAAAGAAAGAGGUGGGGAAAGAAGGAAAAGGGAACGAAUGAGAGACGUGGCGCAAGAGCGUUACAUAUCGCGGAGAUCCCGGUCCCGAGCUGAGACUGUAUAUUAUUUUAGCGCCUUAUCAGGUCCGUAUCACCCCUCGUCGGCGCACGUGGUGCCAUCCGUCCCCUACGACACAAUCACCCCCUGUCAGGAGACGCACGUCGUUUUGGAAAUUGAGACAUCGACACUCGUUAGGCGCGCGCGCAAUAGCAUCAUCCCUUGUGAGCAUUUCGCCGGUCGUACGAGCGCAUCGAAACCGCGUGACGAGAGGCGGUUUAUCGUUUCCGCGAUGCGAUGCACGCAUUAUUCUUCUGGGUCUAUUAAAAGCAUGAGUAAUGCUGUAACAUGGUAGAUCUUAAACGAUGUGUACGUAUCUUGGAGCGAAGUCGAUAAAACAAGGAAUGAUGCUAUUGCAUUUUCUUUUACUUUAUACUUUAUACUUUAUGUAGAAGCGUGACACAUUUUUAUCGUGUUAAGUACCUAAGUGUGCAAAUUAAUUCGGAGCUUUUAUUACAAAAAAAUAAUAAACAUGUUAAUCUUCGAAAUAUUCGCCACCAUUUUCUAAUACCUUUUUUCGUCUGUAUAUCGGACAGCUGAUAAAUUUCCCCUCGUAAAAAAGAAACUAAAUAAAGGCUCAAUUUCUUCAUUUUAAAAGACCGAAUUAAUUUGCCUAAUAGAUUAUUUCAAUUCAAUUUAUUUCAACUUUCGUCAAGAACGGACUUGGUUUACAUACUAAAUACUAAAUAUUAAAUAUUCCUGUUCUUUCUUUUUACUUAACUUAUAUAAUUUCAUCCUACUACCUUUAAACAGUUACACAUUUACACAUUUACACUUUCUUAAACUUAUCUAUAUAGGAUAUAAAUUACAUGAUUUACAAAAUUUACAUAAUUUACACAGCCUAAUAGAUUAUUAUUUUAUGUUUAUAUGGAAUUGUGUAUAUUAUUUAUGCUUCUUUUUUAUUUCAAGUUAGCAAUACCGUUAAUGAACUGACUAAAGAAUAUUACUAUAGACAAGAUUUCUAAGUAUAUUUGAUGUUUAUGAUAUUCAUAAAACUGGCCUUCUAAAAUUCGACAGUUUGCAUUUUCGUGUCUUCUUAUAAUAGCCAAGUGCUUUAUUAAUACUUUGUUACGAACUUUGACUUUAUCAACAUUAUUGUAUUAUGAUUUUAAUUCUUACUGAUUCUUUUUGAUAUUGAAAGUAUAAAAUUACAAACAAUCAGAUUGUUACAAAAUACAUACAAGAUUAUUCGAUGAAAAUAAAAUUCGUACUGAAAGCGCAGAUUCCACGGUUUGCAUUUUCGUCUUCUUGUAAUGCCAAGUGUUUUAUUAAUAUUUUCUUACAAUUUCAAUACUUGCAUUAUAAUUUUCUUAAUUUUUUUCUGAGACUGAAGAUAUCAAAUUAACAAAAACCUAGAUUGUUAUGAGAUACAAGAUUGUUCGAUGGAAAUGAAAUUUGUAUUGAAAGUGCAAUCUAAAUAUAUAUCGAUAUCACUUUACUUUAACAAGAUCAAGACGUAUCCUUUUAUAAGCGCUCCCAUAAAAUCCCGAUUCAAAGUCGAAGGACAAGCCAUUGGCAUGAGAGCAGGAUCAAGAGAGGGAUUGACAGCGCAAAAGAGAUAGCGGAUUGAAACCCGAGCUAAAAAGGCCUUCCAUUCGCGAGAUCGUCAGACUUUAAGUAGGUGAUAAAUUAAACGAGUCUCCUACGUCCCCUCCGCCUCGUCCUAAUACCUCCUAUAUCUUGGCCGCGAGAUUUUAAUGGAGUUUUUUUUAACCGAAACUUUUACUACCCCGGAUAAGCUCUUGUUAACUAUGUUUCACUGGGCCAGUCUAAUUACGUGAAUUUCGAGCAUCACUUAAAAAUCUGGCUUCAACAGCGAAAUACCAGAGGCAGUAUAACGGAUUAAUCGACACGGAGAUUUCGCUUAGGGCUACCUAAAAGCGCUCGUGAGACGCAAACUGCAACGAAAAGCGAACGUCGGAACCACAACUGUUAACUCAGCAAUGGCACUUAAGUGUCCACAAAGUGCCAAUAAUUGUAUUCCACGCGUCAUGAUAGUCAUUCAGAACAUCAAAAGUUGUGUUUGUUCGAGCAGUUUAACCUACGCUAAGUCGAGACAAUUUCUUGCUCUUCAGACAACUCAGAGAAGAGUUGAAGAAUGAAUGGUAAUGUUUGAGAAGUAGAUGAUAAUUUUAUUGUUAGUCUGUUAAGCUAAAAGUUUUCAACUUCCUAUCAAACUCAAAAAGAGAGAUAUCAAACAAUUGCAUCUUCUUUUAUUUUACUUAAAAUUACUCUGAAAAAUGCUUUCGCGAAGAAUUUCAUUGUGCGCGAUGGACAACUAAAGUUCUUUUAUCAUCACGUAUGAAUCACGUAAAAAUAUUUUAUCAUUACACGUGCGUCCUACAUUCAUGUAUCAGUAUUGAAAUCGGUUUCCAGUUCCAGUUUUUCCUUUUCUUUUAGGCUAAUGCGCACGUUGCAGAAAUGAAUUCUUUCCUCUGUUUUACAACAAUACCCCUCCAUUGUGACUCUGUAAGUGAACUAGGCUGGCCUUUUUCUUUUUCUCUUUCAGGUAUACACCAUUGCCAUUACGACGAUAUUAGUAGCAGUUGCCCAUCUUGCUGUAGUACGAAUGACGAAACUUUCCCGGCGACAGAAGGACCGGUGGGCGGUCCUCCGGGAUACCUGGAACUUUCGCAAGCUCCCGUCCAAUCGGCGUGUUGGAAGGCGAGAGAGAUAGAUAGAUAGAUAGAGAGAGAGAGAGAGAGAGAGAGAGAGAGAGAGAGAGAGAGAGAGGAUACACUGGCUACAGCACGGCCGGCGAAGAGAGGGGAAACAGAGAGCCUUUCCGUCGGGUAAAAAUAAUAACUUUUGUUGAAAUACGCAGUUGCGGUUAGACGCACGCGACACCAACUUCGUUUUACUUUCCAGCGUAUUCCGUUUUUCUACAUUAUCCUUCAGCUAUUCUUACAUAACAUUCUUAACCUUUGGUCUCGACGCCUCGCUACUAGUUACCAGGCUCAUGGGGAUGAUUCCGUUCAAAAUGGCGGCACACGAGACUCGGGGUAUCGCGACACGGAUACAACCGGAGGAAGUGAGACAACACCUGUGUGAAGAGCAAGAGGGAGGACAGAACCGACCGAAAAAGCGAAAGCAACAAGAACGGAAGGAGAGGAAAGGACAGAAAAAUGCAAAACUGCCACGUCAUUUUCCAGAAAUGGACCGGUGGAUGGACAGAAUGGCAACGCAUGAUAUAACGAGGACUCAAAGUCGCAGAAUGACGGAACGGACGCAGAGGGAGGAAACGCAGAAAUGCGCAGGGAAAAGGGUUGUGUGACGAAAGAGAGGGACCGAAAGUGGAUGAUGUCUGCGGGGUGGCAAGGGAGGACACAGAGAAAGCGAAUGGAAGAGCGAGAGAGAGAGCAAGAGAACAUCCUCGGCUACCAGCCAGCCAGUCAGCCAGCCCCGGCCAACAUCGACCGGGUAUUGUCGCGUAUGCGCCUGCGCCACUGUUAUCCAGGACUAUCAACCUUGCCUCAAUUCCUGAUCGUCCGUUUUCCAUGUCCUCCGUCCACGCUCACAGCUGCGUGUGUGGUUGUGAUUCUCUCUCUCUCUCUCUCUCUGUGUAUGCGUGCGUGUGUAUAUAUGGGUAUGCAUGCGUGCGUUCGCGCGCGCAGGUAUCAGCGCGCUCGCCCCGCGUUUACCCGCGAAUACGAGGCAUUACGUGCCGGGUGAUCGCGCGACGCCGAAUCGAUCGACGCGACGUCGAGAUUUCUGCCGUUCGCGGAUAGUCAUUUUCUGCGUGAUCGAUGAAGCUCUGAACACUCGAAACACGUUAUCGGGGAAACGAUUGUUUCCUGGGAGCAAUAUCCAGCAUGCUAGCUGUUGCGCUACUACCAAUAAGGCAUCGCUGUAACUCGCUGUUAAUAAGGAAAGUUAACCUAUCGCAAUUGUACUUUAGCGACGCGUCACGUAGAAGGCAACGAUGUAGCGAUAUUUUGAAGAAUUUUGUUUUUUAAAGGUUGUUUAUUCUGGUAUAAAACUAAUGUAUGACUAUAUUACUGUUAUAAGUAUGUGUACUGUUAUAAAUAUGUGUUUAGUUUGAUUCAUUGCCAUCUAAACGCGAUCGCGAUUACUUAGUUAAUGACCGAAUAAUAUAAUGUAUUUUUAAACAAAAUCUGUAAUUUGUCAGUUAUUAUAUAGAUUAUAAUUUUGCUAUCCUCUGCGUGCUAUUACGUGGAAAAAUUAAUAAGAUUAAUAAGACUAAUUCCUACAUUUUUGGUUAGAACUUUGAAUUUAAUGAUCACAUAAUAAUUUCAUAACUUAUGGAUGAAGUUCGCGAACCAUUAAUGGAUAUCACCGAUUUGUACAUCGUACAUGGAAAUGCAUGCCGAUCGCUACUGCAUCAUCCGCUGACACGUGUUUCGUCGAUUUAUCAAGACUAUUAAUGCUCAUAUCAAUGAGUAGAUUUCAACUACACUCAUCGUGCGAAUUACUGUUGCUUUAGUAAGAUUGGUCCACGUACGAAAAUGUUUAGCCAAAGCAAAAAUAAUAAUAUGCAAAUAUGCGAUAUGAAAAGAUUGUAAUUUAGCAAGAACGUACGUGAAAAUAAAACUAUGAGACAAAAUAGAAAUUUGCAAUAUUUAGAUUUGUUUAAAAAGCAUUUUCUUUUCAAAAAUGUACGAAUAUUGAAUAUGUAUAAUUAUCUACAUCUAAAUAUUAUUGAAGGAAAACUAAUUCUUAUUAGAUUGACAUGAUUUCAAGAACAUUGUAUCCUGAAUUGUUCCAUGAAUAAUUGACAUUUAUUUAUACAGAGAUGUCGCGAAUUAUAAUACCUAUAAGAUGGAAAUAAUUACACGGCAUCAUAUGAAAAGACAACGCAAACAAACAAAAUAUUUCAAGAGAGAGAGCGUUACAUUCGAAUGAAAAUCUCCCGUAAUCUUUUCCAAGUACUCUACGAGAAGGCAUAUCACGAAGUCCGAUAUGAAAUCGAUUAUUAACGUUGACUUCAGCGAAAGACCAAGGACCUAACGGCAUGGAACGAUUUCCGAAGUUAUACGACGUGCUUGGAAAGCUUUCGCCACGCCAAUACAAUGAAUGAUGUCAAUAUAUAGAAAAAACGUUUCAAAGCUUUUACGUACGCCACCAUGAACUUAUCAAUGUCGCUUUUAUGUUUGAUAUUGUUGACGGCAUUGCGAAAUCGCUUGCACGUCACGAAAUUUUAUUAUUUCAUCGAAACGACUGACGGGACCGUAGACUUUCAACUGGAAAUGAUUCUGACAUGGAUAACAUUUGCAAGUAUUUAUCCCGAUAUGCGAUAAAAAAACGGAGAGCUAUAAAAUAAUACGAUGUAUUAAUGUAUUAAUAAUGCACUUUAUACAUAAUAAAUUGUGCAAGCGUAACGCGAAAAAUAUGCGUCGCAUUUUUUAUUAUUACUAUUAUUGCUGUUUUUGUUGGCUCCAUUAGCGAAUAUUUCAUCCCAAUUUUGUCAAGUCGUGUUAAAACACUAUCAAGCUAGAAUAAGUAAAGGCACGUAAAAAGUUUACAAUAAAAUAAGUAAGUAAUAGUAAAUAAAAAACAUUGCAGACACAAUGGUAUAACACACAUUCACUUCAACUUUAAUAAUCUGUGAUAAUUGCAGCUUAAAUAAUUAUUAAAACUUUAAUAAACACAAGAUUAUCAUAUGCUUGGCCAGGACCGAUUCUCCACUUGCGUAUACGUGUGCACUCUUGUGGGUCUCCAGAAAUCCAUUCUAAGCGGUUAUUAAUUGACGCUCUUGGGCAGGGUCGAAUCGUCCACUUGGUGCCAGAAGCAACCGUACUUCGUCAUCCCACCCCGAAAACUAUGAGGCGUUUAAUUAACCCCAGGGUGCCACACAGAAAAGAGACUGGAGAAUUCAGAUGCAAAUACCCUAUGACGCAACUACGGGACGACCAUUUCUUUUUCCGAAUGGAACUCGGCUACCAGGACGGUCACUGACUUCUGUACGUUCGCGUGAGCUAAAUUUCAUCCGGAAAUAUUACCGUUUCUCAACACGAAAAGAAAACCCGUGUACAAAAAACGCAGAAAGAGGUGAAAAAGGUGAAAACGAUUUUUUCUUUGGAAUGGAAUGGUCUUGUUUUCUAAAAAGAGUAACAUUAUUUUUUUAAACGUGAUAUUACUUGAUGCAACCAAGUAUUUUCUAUAUAAAAUAUACAUAUAUUAAAGAUAUUCAACAACAACAUGCAAAUAUCUCAUAAAAGGAAAAAUAGACAGAAUGCAUAAAAACUGACAAGGAUCAGGAUAUGAUACUGAAUAUCUGAAAUAUUUGCUCAAUUUAAAUCGUAAUAAACAUAUAGAAAUAAAAUGCAGGAAAAUAGUGCAAGACGUAGAGUUGAAGAGAUUCGAAAGAUGGAUAAAAAAAGUAUAAUAUAUUAAGCGGUAGAAUGUUAAAAACGA